rnacentral:rRNA from 1 species
UGGUGGAGUGAUUUGUCUGGUUAAUUCCGAUAACGAACGAGACUCUAGCCUGCUAAAUAGACUGGCGAUCCCUUCGUGGGUCGACCAGAUUCGCUUCUUAGAGGGACAAGUGGCGUUCCUAGCCACGCGAAAUUGAGCAAUAACA